rnacentral:lncRNA from 1 species
UAGAUUGGAACUCUACUGAAGAGUCUCAGUAGAUAGAGACUCUGGUGAAGAGUCCCACUGACUGAGCUCUGGUGAAGAGUCUCACUGGAUGGAGACUCUGCUGAAGAGUCCCACUAGACUUGGACUCUAUCACUAAUGGAGGAUUAAUUAGUGAUUAGAUCAUUAAUUAGCUCAAUUUGAUUGAGCAUUAAAGUUUGGAUCAAGUCUGAUUGAAUUGGAUUCAAUCAGGUCAGGUCUGAUUAGGUUAUAAGAUGACUUAAUCGGUAAGAAAAAAAUGAUCCUGA